AGGGUUCGAUUCUGGCUCAGAACGAACGCUGGUGGCGUGUCUUAUACAUGCAAGUCGAGCGAGGCAGCAAUGCCGAGCGGCGAACGGGUGAGUAACGCGUAAGCAAUCUGCCCCAUAUCAGGAAAUACCCGUGCCAACGCGCGGUUAAUGUCCAGGAGAGUGGCCCUCUGCAUGGAGGGUUGACUAGAGAUUUAUCGGUAUGGGAUGAGCUUGCGUCCGAUUAGCUAGUUGGCGGGGCAACGGCCCACCAAGGCGACGAUCGGUAGCCGGCCUGAGAGGGUGAUCGGCCACAUUGGGACUGAGAUACGGCCCAGACUCCUACGGGAGGCAGCAGUAGGGAAUAUUGCACAAUGGGGGAAACCCUGAUGCAGCAACGCCACGUGUGGGAAGAAGCAUUUCGGUGUGUAAACCACUGUCAUGAGGGAAUAAGGCCCAGUUUAGGCUGGGAUUGAAUGUACCUUGAGAGGAAGCACCGGCAAACUUCGUGCCAGCCGCCGC
rnacentral:rRNA from 1 species